AUUGUUGAUACCAAAAAUUUAACAUGCCGACUUAACCUACGUAUGAGCCAAAAAAAUAAGGACACGUGGUGUGAGAUAUGGAUCCCAAGGAUCUAAAAGGUAAAAGACACCUAGAGGGGGGCGAAUAGGUGUAAACGGCAAAAACAAAUAAACUCGAUGCAAAUUAAAAGAGAAUGCGGAAAAUAAAAUCAACACACCGAGAUUUUAACGUGGGAAAACUCCAAUUCGGAGAGAAAAACCCACGGGACCGAUCACACAAAGAAAUCUACUAAGAAAACUUGAGUACAAGUGAUUUACCGAAAAUACACGACUCAAUUUACCGAAUCCUCGUUAUAGAUUGUCUUCGCCGGUCCUCGAUCGAUCAAAGUCCUUCGAUCGAUCCU
rnacentral:lncRNA from 1 species